rnacentral:rRNA from 1 species
UACAGAGGUCCCGAGCGUUGUUCGGAUUCAUUGGGCGUAAAGGGUGCGUAGGCGGCGGGGCAAGUCAGAUGUGAAAUCCUGGGGCUCAACCUCAGAACUGCAUUGGAUACUGCCUUGCUUGAGUACUGGAGAGGGAACUGGAAUUUACGGUGUAGCAGUGAAAUGCGUAGAGAUCGUAAGGAAGGCCAGUGGCGAAGGCGAGUCCCUGGACAGUUUACUGACGCUGAGGCACGAAGGCCAGGGGAGCAAACGGG